rnacentral:rRNA from 1 species
CGGACGGGUGAGUAAUGUCUGGGAAACUGCCCGAUGGAGGGGGAUAACUACUGGAAACGGUAGCUAAUACCGCAUAACGCGCAAGACCAAAGAGGGGACCUUCGGGCCUCUUGCCAUCGGAUGUGCCCAGAUGGGAUUAGCUAGUAGGUGGGGUAACGGCUCACCUAGGCGACGAUCCCUAGCUGGUCUGAGAGGAUGACCAGCCACACUGGAACUGAGACACGGUCCAG